GACGAACGCUGGCGGCGUGCUUAACACAUGCAAGUCGAACGGAAAGGCCCUGCUUUUGUGGGGUGCUCGAGUGGCGAACGGGUGAGUAACACGUGAGUAACCUGCCCUUGACUUUGGGAUAACUUCAGGAAACUGGGGCUAAUACCGGAUAGGAGCUCCUGCUGCAUGGUGGGGGUUGGAAAGUUUCGGCGGUUGGGGAUGGACUCGCGGCUUAUCAGCUUGUUGGUGGGGUAGUGGCUUACCAAGGCUUUGACGGGUAGCCGGCCUGAGAGGGUGACCGGGCAACAUGGGAAUGGGAAAAGGGCCAGAAUCCCAAGGGAGGGAAGAGGGGGGGAUAAUGCAAAAAGGGCGGGAGCCUGAUGCAGGAAAGGCGCGGGGGGGAAGACGGGCUUUGGGUUGGAAAACGCUUUUGGCUGGUACGAAGGGUGAGUGGAGGUAAAGGGUAAAGAAGCAACGGGCAAAUAAGGGG
rnacentral:rRNA from 1 species